rnacentral:lncRNA from 1 species
CUUUGGGAGGCUGAGGCAGGUGGAUUGUUUGAGGUCAGUAGUUUGAGACCAGCUAACAUGGCGAACCCUUGUCUCUUUUAAAAAUACAAAAAUUAGCCAGGUGUGGUAGUACGUGCCUGUAAUGCCAGCUACUUGGGAGGCUGAGGCAGGAGAAUCGCUUGAACCCAGAAGGUGGAGCUUGCAGUGAGCUGAGAUCGUGCCACUGCACUCCAACCUGGGCAAUAGAGCGAGACUCUAUCUCAAAAAAAAAAAAAUGAAGAAGAAGAAAAAAGAGAACUUGUCAAUGGAUACUAAAGUAAGGUAUAUAUUGGCCAAGGUACAUACAAAGGAAUAUCCAGAGACUAGUCACGCUCUCUUUUUUUUUUUUUGGAAGACAGGGUCUCACUCUGUCACCGAAGCUGGAGUACAGUGGCACAAUCAUGGCUCACUGUAUGCUUGAACUCCUGGGUUCAAGUGAUCUUCCUGCCUCAGCCUCCUGAGUAGCUGCGACUACAGGCACAUGCCACCACACCCAACUAAUUUUUUUUAGAGACAGCAUCUCACUAUGUUGCACAGCCUGGUCUUGAAUUCAAGGCCUCAAGCAGUCCUCCCACAUGGGCCUCCCAAAGUGCUGGGAUUACAAGCAUCAGCUACCGCACCUGGCCUACUCUCCCUUAUUUAAUGAAAACACAAUAAUCAGUAAUAAGCUACACUGCACUCUAGCCUGAGUGACAGAGCAAGACUCUGUCACACACACAAAAAAUAAUAAUAAUAAUAAGCUAUAAAGAAAACAUAUAAAUCUUAUAUUAGAAAAAUUUUAGACUUUUCAAAGUGCUUCACAUUCAUAUUCUAUCACACCAUUGCAAAAUAUCCUAACAGUAAGUGACAAAUCCAAAAUUACAAAAGUAGUUGAUCAGAUCUGAAACCUGAUUCAAAAAACAUGUUUGCUCUAUGGGAGGAAAUAUAAAUAUGUAUAAAUUCCUUCUUUAUGCUAAUUUUCUUACUCAUUCCUAGUUAAAAUAUCACUUAUCAGACCUAGGCUAUUGCAAACAUGGAAGUAAAAUUCAGUAAAACAAAGCCAAAAGUACCACUUUUUUUAUUUAGCCAGUCUACCCUUCAACCAGGAAUCAUAUGAAAAACAUUCCAUCAAUGUUCUGUGUGUUUAAGACUGUGCUGGGCACUGGGGUGACUAGAAGAGAAUUCAAAUAGCGUUCUUUGCUUUUCAGAAAGUAUGCACUCCAUUUGAUAAAAAGACAAGAAAAAAAGAAAACAAAGCCAAGCUGUGUUCAAACAAUCCUCCUAAAGGAAGAAAACUUACUGUGUGGUUCUGUAAAACUCCAGGUAACAAGGAUACCAAGAAGUGAGAUAGCAGAGUUUAGUCUGAAACAACCUCAUGGGGAAAAAAAAAAAAUGAAAUCUGAGCUGAACAUUGAAGGAUGGACAGGAAUUAGAAAAGCACAAAGGAGGAAUUAAAGCAUUCAGGCAGAGACUGGCAGAAAUAAAGGCCAAGAAGUGGGAAGAAGCAUGAUACACACAGAAGAGACUGAGGUGACCUGCCUGGAACAUAGGUGCAUGCAGAGGCAUAAUGGGAAAGAGUUUGGUAAAUCAAGUGGGGUCAGCUCCCAAUAGACUGCUGGGUCACAGAGACAUGCUGUUAGAAUAUUAAAAUCAUCGAAUAUUUAAACUUGAAAGAAUCUAAAAGAUUUUCUAGCCAUUUCUUUUUCAACAGAUGAGGAAAUCAAGGAUCUAUAGGAAAGCUAAUGGCUAGGAUAGGGACAAAGGCACUGAAUAGCAGAACAAAACUAAGACCCCCGCUAAGGAACUCCAAUUCAGUAGAAAAGUAUUGUGUCUUGGGAACUGGAAGAGAUUGGUUUCCGGGGGGAGUGGAACAUCACAGUGGCAUUACAACUAAGCAAUGACCACUAUGUUUUGCCAGAAGUAAUCACUUUCAAGAAAACAGCAAUCAAGCAGAGGCAGGAGCUACUUUUCAGAGUUAUAAAGGAAAUGGGUGGAUAAACAGUAGAGGCGGUGAGUAUCUGGCAACAACAACAACAAAAAAGACUGGUCCACAGAGAGAGAGCUGCAGGACCAAGUAAACGUCUGAUUUCCAAGAGAAAGGAAAUCUUAGCCUGAAAAGUGAAAAGAAAGCAGCCAACAUAAAGACUAAAUUAGUUCCCAGACAGAUAAGGUGGAAAGUGUAAGGGAGUGCAGAGAACUGAGGAACAGCUGGAAGAAAUCUUUCUAAAGGAUGAAUUCCGGGCCGGGCACGGUGGCUCAUGCCUGUAAUCCCAGCACUUUGGGAAGUCAAGGCAGGUGGAUCACGACAUCAAGAAAUUCAGACCCAUCCUGGCUAGCACGGUGAAACCCUGUCUCUACUAAAAAUACAAAAUUAGCUGGGCGUGGUGGCAUGCGCCUGUAGUCCCAGCUACUUGGGAGGCUGAGGCAGGAGAAUCGCUUGAACCCAGGAGGCAGACGUUGCAGUGAGCUGAGAUCGCGCCACUGCACUCCAGCCUGGGCGACAGAGUGAGACUCCAUCUCAAAAUAAAUAAAUAAAUAAAAAUUUAAAAUAACAAUAAUAAUAAAUUAAAAAAUUCCGAAGCAAAGAAUAAGCAUUAUUGUGCUCGAUUCAGCACCACAUAUACUAAAAUUGGAAGAAUAAGCAUUAUUUCUCACUCACCAUAAAGAAUUCGUCACCAUAAAAGAGUACUCAUUUUCAACUACUAUAAGGCCUUAUAAAAAUUACACACCAGGCUUGAAGAAUGAGGCUAGGAGAUAUUUUUUAAAUCCAAAAAGCUUCAGUUUUGCAAAUCUAUUUGUCUAAUCAGUAUGUGGUUUGUAAUUUCGAAGAUACUUGCCAAUCAUUUUAUACUGUGAAUCACUCACCGCAUAUUCAACGUACAUUCAGAUGAACACUCAAUGUAUGAGAACAACAAAUAUGCUACUACAACCUCUAAAAUCAGAGUUUAUUCCAUAACAUAUUCUUUAAAUUGGGUUUUUUGGCUUUUAUGUACUACUUUUGCUUGAUCAGAUAUGGAAAAUAUAAUUGCUUUAAAUGAACAUAUUUACAACAAAUCAUUUUGGGAUGGAGUUCUUUUUAAUUCUUUUUUUUUUUUUUUUAGUUCAAAUAUCCAUAGUUUUCCCAUACUUCCCUUCAGAAAUAAAGCUCUACAGGAACCAGUGGGGCAUACAGAACUAGGGGAGAUACACAGAAGGUUCUAAUUUGCUUAGAAACUGGGUUAAUGAACCACAAUUAAAAGCUACACAUGGCCGGGCGUGGUGGCUCACCCCAAAAUCAUUCCUCUCUUAAGUAUCUUUUUCCAAUAUGGCAAAUAAGCCUAGAGAUGAACAGGUAAGAAGUAAAAAAAUAAAAUUAAGAAAAAACUGAAAAAAAUUUUUAAUUUUUAAAAUUUAAGGAGAAUUGCGGCGUGGAUCCUUCAAUUUCCUACAUCCAGAUUCUGCUGUCCACAAGGUUCAGCUUUGGAAGUCUUCUAUGUGCCUUUUAAAUCCUUUCUUAAAAUUACAGAGUCUUUUCUACCAAGUUUUAAAUCUAACGCUCUAUCAAUAAUGUAAUCUUUUAUAUGCAGUAACAUUAUACUUCAGAUGGAUUAGUAGUUUAGUUUAGAUGCCUUUGGGUCUGGAAGCAUACGAAUGGAUAAAACAAUUCCUUCAAGUCUCUGACAGCUUCAUAACUCUAUUUUAUCUACAUAGCUUCUUCUCAACUUCCUCUGUCUAUUCCAAGAUAUUUUCCAGGUAGGUCUGAAACGCUGAGUCCCGUAAAGAAAUGUUUAUGCAUCAAAUAACAGAAGAGCUCUUCCCCCACCCCUUCAGCUCCCAUAAUGUUUUACCAUUAUAUCCAGUAAACAAAAUAGGUUGACUCAAUCUUAAACAAUUCCCCCAUCACAGGAAGCCCACUGCACCCACAGCUGCAGAAAGCAUCCCUUAAACCAUCCCCAACUACCUACAGCAACACAAAGUUAAACCAAUUUCCACUGACAAAAGGCUAUGUGUGCAUUUAUUCUAAUCAGCCCCAGGAUUUAUUGUGUGAAACUCAGGCGAUAAAAAGUCACCUCCUCAAGCUACAAAACUUUUUUUUCAUCCCAAAUAUUCUCAAUGAAAGUUCUCUUGUCAACCAGGAGAGAGUCAAAAACAACCACAAACACUAGCAGAAUGAUCCGCUCCAGGACCACAUCCCAGCUGGCUUUGCUCUGUUGUCGGUGGCUCUGAAGCAGUUUCUCACUUUCCUUUCACCCUUCUCCCCUUUACUCCCCAACAUUCUCACUCGAGAAUGCAUCACAUCCUCAGACCGCUGGCAAAAAAAAAAGGGGGGGGGGAAGAGACUGCAAUUAUCAAGGAAGGGGAAGAUAUUUCAGAACCACGGUUUCCACUGCAAACGGCAAUAAAAAAAAAAGGCAGUCUGUGUCAUCAGGAUAUGGGGGACGACGUUGUAGGGCAUCACAAAGAUGUGCAGUGAGUGUGCACUUGAAGCUCUCGGGGCAGGAUGAGACGAUGGAGCAGAAAGUAAGAAAACCUGUGCCUUCCUUGCUUUCUUCUGCUCUUCCCCCUCCAGGAGAGGAAGCUGAAGAAACUGGGGGAGGGGCGGAAUGUUAUCGUUCUCCUAUUGAGGGUAUAUAAGACAGGCCUUAGGGUUCGCUCGUCCCCAGUUAGGAGGGUCACGGAGGGAAGAGGAAGAGAGAACCCCUAAACGUUACCCACCUCUGCUCAAAAACAAAAGUAAGGGGGUAAUUAUUAAAUCCAGAUGGCGCGCCCCUAAAGGCGCCCCCAGGUCACUCAUCCCCAUUUCCAAGCGGAAGGGCUGGGAUAAAGGGGAUGGAGGGUCGGAGGCUGGUCAGGGACAAGGCCCCACCCCCCGACUUAGGAGGGAAAGGGUGCCCAAGCUCCCAGCUGUCCCCUCCUACCCCUCACCUCCCGCCUUGGCCACCCCCACUUAUCCCCCCUUCCCUUCUCUUCCCUUCCCUUCCUUUCCUCCAGAGCCUGAGGCAGCCGCGGGGGAGGCGGCCGCUCCUACCUCCCCUCACCUACUCUGUCCCCACCCCCACUCCGCUCCCACCUCCCGCCCGCCACGGGCCGGUUACCUGCUCGUCGAAGCGGCUGACCACGGCCUGGACCCAUUCCACCGGCCUGUGCGCGGCCAUGUCCUCCCCGCGGCCGGGGGGCGGCGGAGGGAAGGGUGGGCCGGCGCCCUGGGCCGGGAAGAGGGCGGGGAGCGGAGGCUGAGAGACAAGGUCUGACUCUGUGCAGUGGAGUGCAGUGGCUCAAUCAUAGCUCACUCCAGCCUCAGACUCCUGGGCCGAAGUGAUCCUCCCACCUCAAGCUCCUGAAUAGCUGGGACUACAGGCAACAAGCUCUGCCAAUUUUUUCUUCGAAGAGUUUUGUUCCAAGCUGGGAGCCGUGGCUCAUGCCUGUCAUCCCAGCACUUUGGGAGGCCAAGGUGGGUGGAUCACUUGAGCCCAGGAGUUCCAGACCACCCUGGGCAACAUGGCGAAACCUCAUCUCUACAAAAUUUUUUUUUUUAAUUAGCUGGGCAUGGUGGCAUGUGCCUGUGGUUCCAGUUACUUGGGAAGCUGAAGUGGGAGGAUCGCUUGAGCCCAGGAGGUCAAGGCUACAGUGAGCUGUGAUGGUGUCAUUGCAUUCCAGCACUCCAGCCCGGGCAUCAGAGUUAGACCUUGUCUUAAAAAAUAAAUAAAUGAAUAAAUAUAAAUAAAAAAUAAAAAGCUUUUACAG